rnacentral:rRNA from 1 species
CCUACGGGUGGCAGCAGUGAGGAAUAUUGGUCAAUGGACGAGAGCCUGAACCAGCCAAGUCGCGUGAAGGAUGACUGCCCUAUGGGUUGUAAACUUCUUUUAUAAAGGAAUAAAACGAGGCACGUGUGCCUUUUUGCAUGUACUUUAUGAAUAAGGAUCGGCCAACUCCGUGCCAGAAGCCUCGGUAAUACGGAGGAUCCGAGCGUUUUCCGGAUUUAUUGGGUUUAAAGGGAGCGUAGAUGGGUUGUUAAGUCAGUUGUGAAAGUUUGCGGCUCAACCGUAAUAUUGCAAUUGAUACUGGCAGUCUUGAGUACAGGUGAGGUAGGCGGAAUUCGUGGUGUAGCGGUGAAAUGCUUAGAUAUCACGAAGAACCCCGAUUGCGAAGGCAGCUUACUAGACUGUGACUGACAUUGAUGCUCGAAAGUGUGGGUAUCAAACAGGAUUAGAUACCCUUGUAGUC